UACGUAGGGACCAAGCGUUGUUCGGAAUUACUGGGCGUAAAGCGUGCGUAGGCGGUUGCUUAAGUCUGUUGUGAAAUCCCCGGGCUCAACCUGGGAAUGGCAAUGGAUACUGGGCAGCUAGAGUGUGUCAGAGGAUGGUGGAAUUCCCGGUGUAGCGGUGAAAUGCGUAGAGAUCGGGAGGAACAUCAGUGGCGAAGGCGGCCAUCUGGGACAACACUGACGCUGAGGCACGAAAGCGUGGGGAGCAAACAGG
rnacentral:rRNA from 1 species